GUUGAACGCUGGCGGCGGGCCUAACACAUGCAAGUCGAGCGAGCGGAGGACGGGUGAGUACUGUCUGGGAAACUGCUUGUUGGAGAGGGAUAACUAAUGGAAACGGUAGCUAAUACCGCAUACAAUCAGAUGUGCCUAGGUGGGAUUAGCUGGUAGGUGGGGUAAUGGCUCACCAAGGCGACGAUCCCUCGCUGGGCUGAGAGGAUGAUCAGCCACACUGGAACUGAGACACGGCCCAGACUCCUACGUGAGGCAGCAGUGGGGAAUAUUGGACAAUGGGCGCAAGUCGGAUGCAGCCAUGCCGCGUGUGUGAAGAAGGCUUUCGGGUUGUAAAGCACUGUCGGCGGGGAGGCGGUACCCACAGAAGAAGCAACGGCUAACUCCGUGCCAGCAGCCGCGGUAAUUC
rnacentral:rRNA from 1 species